rnacentral:rRNA from 1 species
AUUGAACGCUGGCGGCAGGCCUAACACAUGCCAGUCGAACGAGUGGCGCAAGGGUGAGUAAGGUCUGGGAAACUCCCUGAUGGAGGGGGAUAACUACUGUAAACGGUAGCUAAAACCGCAUACCAUCGGAUGUGCCCAGAUGGGAUUAGCUAGUAGGUGGGGUAAAGGCUCACCUAGGCGACGAUCCCUAGCUGUUCUGAGAGGCUGACCAGCCACACUGGAACUGAGACAGGGUCCAGAGUCCUACGGUCGGCAGCAGUAGGGAAUAUUGCGCAAUGAGCGCAAGCCGGAUCGAGCCAUGCCGCGUGUAUGAAGAAGGCCUGCGGGUUGUAAAGUGCUUUGGGCAGAGAGGCGUUACCCGCAGAGGAAGCCCCGGCUGACUCCGUGCCAGCAGCCGCGGUAAUUC